UAUGGAUAAUUGCGCAUCCAUUUUGAUGGGUGUGAGUAAAGUCCAUGCUCACACAGGCUGAGAUUGCCUGUAGUGUUCGUGCAUACUGAAAUAAUAAGGUAUGGUCCUUUUAAUUAAGGAACGGCAGUUAAAUGAGCUAAGGCUUCGGCUAAGUUCUAGUAGACUUGAAAGUGCCACAGUGACGAAACAUCAUUGGAAACAAUGAUGGUGGAACGGGUAAACCCCAUGAGUGAGCAACCCAAACUAAGGUAGGGGCACUUUCUCCGCAGAAUUCAAUGCAGGAGAGAGGUUGUUGGUUUUCCAAUGACAGACAGAUAAUUAUCUCUGGAAGAUGGCCUAUCAUCUUCCUAGACAGAACAUGGCUUACAG
rnacentral:RNase_P_RNA from 1 species